AAAUGAAUUGACGGGGGCCCGCACAAGCAGUGGAUUAUGUGGUUUAAUUCGAAGCAACGCGAAGAACCUUACCAGGAUUUGACAUCCAACUAACGAAGCAGAGAUGCAUUAGGUACCCUUCGGGGGAAGUUGAGACAGGUGGUGCAUGGUUGUCGUCAGCUCGUGUCGUGAGAUGUUGGGUUAAGUCCCGCAACGAGCGCAACCCUUAUUGUUAGUUGCUACGCAAGAGCACUCUAGCGAGACUGCCGUUGACAAAACGGAGGAAGGUGGGGACGACGUCAAAUCAUCAUGCCCUUUAUGUCCUGGGCUACACACGUAAUACAAUGGCGCUAAACAGAGGGAGGCUAAGCCGCGAGGUAGAGCAAAUCCCCAAAAGGCGUCUCAGUUCGGAUUGCAGUCUGAAACCCGACUGCAUGAAGUCGGAAUUGCUAGUAAUCGCGGAUCAGCAUGCCGCGGUGAAUACGUUCCCGGGCCUUGUACACACCGCCCGU
rnacentral:rRNA from 1 species